rnacentral:rRNA from 1 species
UACGAAGGGGGCUAGCGUUGCUCGGAAUCACUGGGCGUAAAGGGUGCGUAGGCGGGUUUUUAAGUCAGGGGUGAAAUCCUGGAGCUCAACUCCAGAACUGCCUUUGAUACUGAAGAUCUCGAGUCCGGGAGAGGUGAGUGGAACUGCGAGUGUAGAGGUGAAAUUCGUAGAUAUUCGCAAGAACACCAGUGGCGAAGGCGGCCAACUGGACGAGUACUGACGCUGAGACACGAAAGCGUGGGGAGCGAACAGG